AAAAAAAACGCUUAAUGCAUAGCUAUAGUUGUGGAAAUUCUGAAAAAUACAUAUGUCUUGAGGAUCUGGAGGUAGCUCAUGCGGAGGUGGACCCUUGUGGAGAUGGGUAGUCAGCAGCAGAGGGCGCUGUGUGCUCAGACUUUUUGAGUAUGAUGAGCUCAAAACCAAGAAGAACGUCCGUCACGACCUGGUCACGACCCAACCUUAUGGGUGGUAUAUAAAACACAGUGUGGAUUCAGCAGCAUGGCAGAAAGGUGUUUUGUAUGGUAAUGGGCAGAAUCUGGCCAGACAACUAAUGGAAGCUCCAGCCAAUCACAUCACUCCCACAGUGUUCACA